GACGAACGCUGGCGGCGUGCUUAACACAUGCAAGUCGAACGGAAAGGCCCUGCUUUUGUGGGGUGCUCGAGUGGCGAACGGGUGAGUAACACGUGAGUAACCUGCCCUUGACUUUGGGAUAACUUCAGGAAACUGGGGCUAAUACCGGAUAGGAGCUCCUGCUGCAUGGUGGGGGUUGGAAAGUUUCGGCGGUUGGGGCUGGACUCGCGGCUUAUCAGCUUGUUGGUGGGGUAGUGGCUUACCAAGGCUUUGACGGGUAGCCGGCCUGAGCGGGUGACCGGCCCCAUUGGGACUGAGAUACGGCCCAGACUCCUACGGGAGGCAGCAGUGGGGAAUAGUGCACAAUGGGCGGAAGCCUGAUGCAGCAACGCCGCGUGCGGGAUAACGGCCUUCGGGUUGUAUACCGCUUUCGCCUGUGACGAAGCGUGAGUGACGGUAAUGUGUAAAGAAGCACCGGCUAACUACGUG
rnacentral:rRNA from 1 species